AACAGUAUUGUAGCCAAUGAGGCUUAUCCAAGGCACAAUUAUUGCUAAUCGAAAACUUUUCCCAAUACCCCGCCAUGACGACUUGAAAUAUAGUGAGCAAUGGCAAUUUUUUACAGUCUCUACGGAGG
rnacentral:snRNA from 1 species